rnacentral:tRNA from 1 species
AAGUACUUACUCUAAAAAAGACAGUUGACUUCGACUCAAUUAAUUUUGGAAAACCCCAAAAGUACUUC